rnacentral:lncRNA from 1 species
UUUCCUUAUUUUUCAACCACACAUUUCCCAUCAAUUUACUAUUUUAAAAUGUAUUUUUACAUUAAAAUGGGUCAUAUGAAAAUUCUAAUACUACUAAUUUUAAUCAUUCCCACAAAAAAAAAAAAAAGUAAAAAAAAUGAUGAUAUUGUAGUGGCUAUUGUAUAUAGCUUUAUGAUCAUAAACCAGUCUGCUAUUAAAAAUUAAUCUGUCAACAUCAUUAAAGAAGAAAAAAAAAGUUCCACUUCUGUUUGUUAUAGUCUUCAUAACUGAUUUUUAUAUAUUUAUAAGUUAAAUCCACAAUAAUCACUUUCCAAACAUGCUGUCCAGUACACUGAAAGCAGAAGUUUCUUGUGUCUUUUUAGGUUUGUGGAAAAAUGUUAAAAGUAGGUUCCAUUUUCACUGACCUGACAGUGGGUUGGAAAUUCAUCAGGUUGACGUUGGCAAUAACUUAUAAUAAUGAUUUUAAAGAUAAAUGUGUUGUUCUGUAGUGUCACCUACGAUUGCAUACUGCACAAGAAGUUUCUGAAGUUGAUCAUGAAUUGAAUUUGUAACAGUGGUUUUUCGGAUCGGCCUGAGUCGAAUUAAACA